AUGACUAUCACGUCCCGCACUCAGCUGUUUUGGCAGCCAUCCACGAGUGCAAUAUUAAAUAUUAUUCCUACUUCCACGCAGCUCAGCUUUAACACCUGGACGCAUGUCGCCCGAGUCUCGUGCAAAGAAAACAGUCCAGAAAAUGGAUGGAGCGCCUCACCUUCGCUUCGGACUACGUGCCUGCUUUGUCCGGAACGGCCAACGCCAGGCCCCGGGAAGCUACACAACAAUGGCAGCUGCUGCUGCCGCCGCUAUGCAGUUAUUCUCCUUAAUACGCCGACUGACUCCAUUGCUGAUUGUUCUGCUGAUGCUUCAAGCUCCCCCUCCGUGGUUCCUCCUGCCAGCAUUAUUGCUUUGAUCUCCAGGUCCUCUUCCCAGCCAUGAGGUUCUGCCACCUCCUGUUUUUCCAUUUCCGAGCCCAUAUGAAAUUCCCCUUCCAGUUCAACGAUAUUCUCCUCUAUGAUGGUAGCUGGAUUCUCCACAGGCUCAUUGGGCGCUUCUUGCAGUAUGUCAUUCUCCGGUCUAUCUGUCCCCAAAGUGGCUUCAUCCACCCUAGAGCCCACCCCCUGCCAUGGCAGUUCGGUCUUUAGAACAGCAUCUUCUGCAUCUUGGUGAUCUGUCACACUUCUCACUGCCAGCCCUUCUGUCACAGAAACUUUCUCUUGUUCUUCUCCCAGAUUUGCUGACCCUCCUUCGUUUUCACGUUUUAAGUCUGCCAACGGCUUUGCGUAUAGCACCGUGCCAUCAAUUUCCUCUGGGGGCACAGUGCCCAUGUCUUCAGAGUCCCCCGAGGUAACUGGCUUUGGGAGGUUCACACUUCGUGACUUGUCCUCCAGCACAUUGACAGAUGACACCAGCCCGCUCUCCCCGACAGAGGCAGCCGCUAUCUCCACCGUUGAACCUGCUAUUAUUUUCAUGGCACUCGACAAGUCAGACUUCACCACUGAAACAGAAGGACCCAGGAUUCAACAAUUUCUGCAGUUUGCUUGUCAUUUUUCUUACAAAAGCUCCAUUGCUUUGCUACCUAACCAAAUAAUUGCAGUUUCAACCUUGUUCAAGACAAAUCCUUU
rnacentral:lncRNA from 1 species